GACGAUCCGUACGAACGUUAUUCGGAAUCACUGGGCUUAAAGGGUGCGUAGGCGGCGCAGAAAGUAGGGUGUGAAAUCCCUCGGCUUAACCGAGGAACUGCGCUCUAAACUACUGUGCUCGAGUGAGAUAGAGGUGAGCGGAACUUAGGGUGGAGCGGUGAAAUGCGUUGAUAUCCUAAGGAACACCGGUGGCGAAAGCGGCUCACUGGAUCUCUUCUGACGCUGAGGCACGAAAGCUAGGGUAGCAAACGGG
rnacentral:rRNA from 1 species